CAGCAGCCGCGGUAAUACGUAGGGUGCAAGCGUUAAUCGGAAUCACUGGGCGUAAAGCGUGCGCAGGCGGUUGUGUAAGACAGGUGUGAAAUCCCCGGGCUUAACCUGGGAACUGCGCUUGUGACUGCACAGCUAGAGUAUGGCAGAGGGGGGUGGAAUUCCACGUGUAGCAGUGAAAUGCGUAGAGAUGUGGAGGAAUACCGAUGGCGAAGGCAGCCUCCUGGGAUAACACUGACGUUGAGGCUCGAAAGCGUGGGGAGCAAACAGGAUUAGAUACCCCUGUAGUCCCUGUCUCUUAUAC
rnacentral:rRNA from 1 species